GAUGAACGCUAGCUACAGGCUUAACACAUGCAAGUCGAGGGGAAACGACAUCGAAAGCUUGCUUUUGAUGGGCGUCGACCGGCGCACGGGUGAGUAACGCGUAUCCAACCUGCCCACCACUUGGGGAUAACCUUGCGAAAGUAAGACUAAUACCCGAUGAUAUCUCUAGACGACAUCUGAAAGGGAUUAAAGAUUUAUCGGUGAUGGAUGGGGAUGCGUCUGAUUAGCUUGUUGGCGGGUAACGGCCCACCAAGGCGACGAUCAGUAGGGGUUCUGAGAGGAAGGUCCCCCCANAUUGGAACUGAGACACGGUCCAAACUCCUACGGGAGGCAGCAGUGAGGAAUAUUGGUCAAUGGGCGAGAGCCUGACGGAGCAACGCCGCGUGAACGAUGACGGCCU
rnacentral:rRNA from 1 species